GACGAACGCUGGCGGCGUGCCUAAUACAUGCAAGUCGAGCGAAUCAAUAGGAGCUUGCUCCUGUUGGUUAGCGGCGGACGGGUGAGUAACACGUGGGCAACCUGCCUGUAAGACUGGGAUAACACCGGGAAACCGGUGCUAAUACCGGAUAAUCUUUUUCCUCUCAUGAGGAAAAACUGAAAGUCGGUUUCGGCUGACACUUACAGAUGGGCCCGCGGCGCAUUAGCUAGUUGGUGAGGUAACGGCUCACCAAGGCGACGAUGCGUAGCCGACCUGAGAGGGUGAUCGGCCACACUGGGACUGAGACACGGCCCAGACUCCUACGGGAGGCAGCAGUAGGGAAUCUUCCACAAUGGACGAAAGUCUGAUGGAGCAACGCCGCGUGAGCGAUGAAGGCCUUCGGGUCGUAAAGCUCUGUUGUUAGGGAAGAGCAAGUACCGGAGUAACUGCCGGUACCUUGACGGUACCUAACCAGAAAGCCACGGCUAACUACGUGCCAGCCGCCGCAGUAAAAC
rnacentral:rRNA from 1 species